rnacentral:SRP_RNA from 1 species
UUGAACCCUGUGGCCUGAGCAUAGGCUCUGGGUCACGCGGUUUCUAGAGUGGAGGGAACAGCCUAAGGCUGGCCUCACAGAGUAAUGACUACUUCCAA